AUGAAGAACGCAGUGAAAUGCGAUAAGUAAUGUGAAUUGCAGAAUUCAGUGAAUCAUCGAAUCUUUGAACGCACAUUGCGCCCGCCAGUAUUCUGGCGGGCAUGCCUGUUCGAGCGUCAUUACAACCCUCAGGCCCCCGGGCCUGGCGUUGGGGAUCGGCGGAAGCCCCCUGCGGGCACAACGCCGUCCCCCAAAUACAGUGGCGGUCCCGCCGCAGCUUCCAUUGCGUAGUAGCUAACACCUCGCAACUGGAGAGCGGCGCGGCCACGCCGUAAAACACCCAACUUCUGAAUGUUGACCUCGAAUCAGGUAGGAAUACCCGCUGAACUUAAGCAUAUCAAUAAGCGGAGGA
rnacentral:misc_RNA from 1 species